rnacentral:lncRNA from 1 species
AUUGUUUCCAUCUGUGCCUACAGGAGAAAUUUUAAAUCUUAGAGUUUAAAAUUCUGAAACAUCCUUAAAGACACAAUUAAGUAAUUAAUUUUCUUAAGGAUUUUUUUUUCAGCUGGUGUACCUGCAACAAGCAAACUGACCCUAGCCUUCUGUAGAAGCCAAAUAGCAAUAGGUUAGUAGCACCUCAGUUCUAACUCCUACUAUGAAUUAACAUCUCGGAUCUGUGCUCUUAAACUACCUGCUGUUCUCCUUACCAGCACUGCAGUAAAGACCUGUGCAGCUACUCCUCCCACGACAGAGCUGAAAGCUGCAAACUGCAUAUCAAGUGUCCGGUGGGGUUUGGGAGGCAAUGAUGAACAUUCAUUUCAAGAUAUAUCUUUUGGAUUCAGGUAGUACUGAGUGCAUGAAAAAGGG